rnacentral:rRNA from 1 species
UACGAAGGGGGCUAGCGUUGCUCGGAAUCACUGGGCGUAAAGGGUGCGUAGGCGGGUCUUUAAGUCAGGGGUGAAAUCCUGGAGCUCAACUCCAGAACUGCCUUUGAUACUGAAGAUCUUGAGUUCGGGAGAGGUGAGUGGAACUGCGAGUGUAGAGGUGAAAUUCGUAGGUAUUCGCAAGAACACCAGUGGCGAAGGCGGCUCUCUGGACCGAUACUGACGCUGAGGCGCGAAAGCGUGGGGAGCAAACAGG